AGAUUUACUUCGGUAAUGACGUUGGGACAGUGAGCGGCGGAUGGGUGAGUAACACGUGGGGAACCUGCCCCUAAGUCUGGUAUACCAUUUGGAAACAGGUGCUAAUACCGGAUAAUAAAGCGGAUCGCAUGAUCAGCUUUUGAAAGGCGGCGUAAGCUGUCGCUAAGGGAUGGCCCCGCGGUGCAUUAGCUAGUUGGUAAGGUAACGGCUUACCAAGGCGACGAUGCAUAGCCGAGUUGAGAGACUGAUCGGCCACAUUGGGACUGAGACACGGCCCAAACUCCUACGGGAGGCAGCAGUAGGGAAUCUUCCACAAUGGACGCAAGUCUGAUGGAGCAACGCCGCGUGAGUGAAGAAGGUUUUCGGAUCGUAAAGCUCUGUUGUUGGUGAAGAAGGAUAGAGGUAGUAACUGGCCUUUAUUUGACGGUAAUCAACCAGAAAGUCACGGCUAACUACGUGCCAGCAGCCGCGGUAAUACGUAGGUGGCAAGCGUUGUCCGGAUUUAUUGGGCGUAAAGCGAGCGCAGGCGGUAAAAUAAGUCUAAUGUGAAAGCCCUCGGCUUAACCGAGGAACUGCAUCGGAAACUGUUUUUCUUGAGUGCAGAAGAGGAGAGUGGAACUCCAUGUGUAGCGGUGGAAUGCGUAGAUAUAUGGAAGAACACCAGUGGCGAAGGCGGCUCUCUGGUCUGCAACUGACGCUGAGGCUCGAAAGCAUGGGUAGCGAACAGGAUUAGAUACCCUGGUAGUCCAUGCCGUAAACGAUGAGUGCUAAGUGUUGGGAGGUUUCCGCCUCUCAGUGCUGCAGCUAACGCAUUAAGCACUCCGCCUGGGGAGUACGACCGCAAGGUUGAAACUCAAAGGAAUUGACGGGGGCCCGC
rnacentral:rRNA from 1 species